UAUUGACUUUUCCAAUUUCGUUUCAGCUCUUCAUUUGAUCGAGGGUCGUCAUCGACGGCGAACUUGGGGGAAAAGGGCUUGGCUUUCUCAGUUGUGUUUUCCGAUUUUAUCAAAAAUCAAAGCAUUUUUCGUCUUUCUUUGAUACUGGUCCACACUUGCAAGGGAUUUACGAUUUUCUGGUCUAAUGGUUAUUAUGAAGGCUUGACAAUGUGACAGAGUAUGGGAAGUAAAAGUCCAUAUGCAGGUCUGAUUUAGCUUCAGCUCUUGGAGACCAUCUCAAAGAAGGAUUGAGCAAUGAUGACACGCACAAAGUUGCUAGCAUGUCAGUAGAGUAAAAGGAGAUCUUUACAGGGGUGGCGUGAGAAACUUGCACUACACUUCUUCCCAAUCCCAUCUAGGCAGCUGGUUGUUGAAUAGAUUAAGGCAUUUUCAUGUAUCCAAGAAAUAAUUUGAAUAAGACUUUAGUAAUGUUUUCUAGUAAUAUGUUUAUGUACAUUUAAAGA